rnacentral:lncRNA from 10 species
ACCAAGUGGCAGGUUCAUUCAUUCAUCCAUUCUAGUUAUUCAUGGAGAACCCAUCAUGCUUUACUAAAUGUGAGGCCGACAUUUAUGGAGGCCUGGCUAGAAAAGCAGGAGAGACCGGGAGGGCCUCAGGUGCCGACCGCAGCACAGGCCUUAUCUGGAAAGCCAUGGAGGGCCAGGGUGGCUCUCACCAGGACAUGGACAUGAUCAGACGUGUGUGUCGGCCAUCGUGUGCGAGACAUUCUGGGGACCCCAGCCUGGGGGCACUGGGGCUGGGCAGUGCAGGGCAAGGAGCCGUAUCUCAAAGAGAUACAUCUCGUAAGAGAAUGCAGGC